rnacentral:rRNA from 1 species
GAUGAACGCUGGCGGCGUGCCUAAUACAUGCAAGUCGAGCGAACAGACGAGGAGCUUGCUCCUCUGACGUUAGCGGCGGACGGGUGAGUAACACGUGGAUAACCUACCUAUAAGACUGGGAUAACUUCGGGAAACCGGAGCUAAUACCGGAUAAUAUAUUGAACCGCAUGGUUCAAUAGUGAAAGACGGUUUUGCUGUCACUUAUAGAUGGAUCCGCGCCGCAUUAGCUAGUUGGUAAGGUAACGGCUUACCAAGGCAACGAUGCGUAGCCGACCUGAGAGGGUGAUCGGCCACACUGGAACUGAGACACGGUCCAGACUCCUACGGGAGGCAGCAGUAGGGAAUCUUCCGCAAUGGGCGAAAGCCUGACGGAGCAACGCCGCGUGAAUGAUGAAGGUCUUCGGAUCGUAAAACUCUGUUAUUAGGGAGGAACAAAUGUGUAAGUAACUAUGCACGUCUUGACGGUACCUAAUCAGAAAGCCACGGCUAACUACGUG